UACGGGAGGCAGCAGUGGGGAAUCUUGCGCAAUGGGCGAAAGCCUGACGCAGCGACGCCGUGUGUGCGAUGAAGGUCUUCGGAUCGUAAAGCACUGUCGCGAGGGAAGAAACCGAGAGGGUGACGGUACCUCGAAAGGAAGCACCGGCUAACUCUGUGCCAGCAGCCGCGGUAAUA
rnacentral:rRNA from 1 species